rnacentral:rRNA from 1 species
UACAGAGGUCUCAAGCGUUGUUCGGAUUCAUUGGGCGUAAAGGGCGCGUAGGCUGCGGGGCAAGUCGGGUGUGAAAUCUCAGAGCUCAACUCUGAAACUGCACUCGAUACUGCUUUGCUUGAGGACUGGAGAGGAGAUUGGAAUUCACGGUGUAGCAGUGAAAUGCGUAGAUAUCGUGAGGAAGACCAGUGGCGAAGGCGGGAUCUCUGGACAGUUCCUGACGCUGAGGCGCGAAGGCCAGGGGAGCAAACGGG